UGAGGAAUCUUCCACAAUGGGCGAAAGCCUGAUGGAGCAACGCCGCGUGCAGGAUGAAGGCCUUCGGGUCGUAAACUGCUUUUAUAAGUGAAGAAUAUGACGGUAACUUAUGAAUAAGGAUCGGCUAACUACGUGCCAGCAGCCGCGGUCAUACGUAGGAUCCGAGCGUUAUCCGGAGUGACUGGGCGUAAAGAGUUGCGUAGGUGGUUAGUAAAGUGAAUAGUGAAACCUGGUGGCUCAACCAUACAGACUAUUAUUCAAACUCACUAACUCGAGAAUGGUAGAGGUAACUGGAAUUUCUAGUGUAGGAGUGAAAUCCGUAGAUAUUAGAAGGAACACCAAUGGCGUAGGCAGGUUACUGGACCAUUUCUGACACUGAGGCACGAAAGCGUGGGGAGCGAACCGGAUUAGAUACCCGCGUAGUCC
rnacentral:rRNA from 1 species